UCAACCUGCAUCAAACAAAGAAAGGAAGGGCCGGUCAGUGGCUGGACUUGAGUUUUAUUCCCCUUCUUCACAGAAUGCCGACAGUCUAAAAACAGUAAUAUGGACAGUGUCUGCUGAGCUUAGCUGAGAUGCGUUUACAUACCAGAGCUGUACACCUUUCAAAGCCUGAGAGGACCCGAUCUCUUUACUCCCUGUGGUACUGUCUGACAACCCUAACUCGCACAUGAUCAGAUGCAAUGGAUCCGGCGACAGAAAAGGUUGAAAACCCCUUGGCCUACUCUAUAAUAGCAGAAUGUUUGAAAAACAAAAAGGGAAACUUAACCGGCAAUUGGCGUGUGGUGAAGAUCGUGCUUUGUGCUAAACAGACAUGAGAAAAUAUCCUUUAAGAAUUGACCAAUUACUCGUGUGGCACGAAAACCAGAAGACCCUGCGGCUCUCCAGGACCGGGGAUGGCCGCCUCUGGUACCCUGGUUCAGGCUCUCGACCUCCAUCCUGCCUUUGUACUGAUGAGCAGCUCUACCUGCUGUCUGAACCCAUGUGUCUGUAGGUAGCGCAUCAAUACACCGGGUCGGCUAUAUGGACAGGGCUGGGGAGAUACCCUCUUAAACUGAUGCAGCAGCAAGGGGGAUCUAACCUUUAUUUUGUAUCAAGAGACAGUAUGAAAUCGUUCUUUUCAGUGUGGGUGGCACGUUCUCACUUGGACAUCGAUUCAUUGAUCUAAAUGGUGGCGUUUCUUAAUACCUUUGAUACAAAUCCACGCCUCUAUCACAGUAACUUUCGUGUAUUUGACAUCUUUAACAGUUAGUAAAAUGGCAGAGACAUGAAGGAGGGAGCUGCUGUACAGGGGUCUUGUGAGUACAGAGGCGUCUCAAAGGAAGAUAGGAAAAGACUGCAAAAGCAAGGGGCAGGAAAUACAGAGCUUAAUGAACUGAUACAGGGACACGUCACAGAGUUUGUCUUGGUGAAUGUGUCUUGAUUCCUUAUGUGGAUGUGGGUGGAAGAAUUCUCUUAAUAUAACCAAAUCUCUCCAGGUUUGUUGUCAUGGGCUAGAUUUUCUGAAAACCCAAUUCUGUGUGAGGACACCUGCUUUUAAAAAAUGUGAAAACACAACACUCACUGAUUGUACCGUCACUGGAAGCAUGGUCAGGUAUCGACCGUUUAAUUAUUAUUAUUAUUAUUAUUAUUAUUAUUAUUAUUAUUAUUAUUAUU